CUGCAUGAAGCUGGAAUCGCUAGUAAUCGCAAAUCAGCCAUGUUGCGGUGAAUACGUUCCCGGGUCUUGUACUCACCGCCCGUCACACCAUGGGAGUUGUGUUUGCCUUAAGUCAGGAUGCUAAACCAGCUACUGCCCACGGCACACACAGCGACUGGGGUGAAGUCGUAACAAGGUAACCGUAGGUGAACCUGCGGUUGGAUCACCUCCUUUCUAGAG
rnacentral:rRNA from 1 species